UGAGAGACACAGAAUGAAGGAGUAGAGGAAUGAAGGCUGAGAGACGCUGGGGGGAGAUAAUGGUGUGGCUGAGAGUAUCAUUGGAGAAGACAAUGUGGCUGAGAAAUGCAGGGGGGAGAUGAUGGUGUGGCUAGGAGACGCAAGGGGGAAGAUAAUGGUAUAGCUGAGAGACACAGGGUACAGAAGAAUCAGAAUCAGAAUCAGCUUUAUUGGCCAGGUAUACUUGCGUUACGUAUACUAGGAAUUUGUCUUCGGUUUGCUAUACAACAGCCAAGUAGGUAACAGGCAUCUUACGGACCAUAUGAUUUCCUGAAGACAAUGUUUGACCAGGGAGGAUACAUUUCUUCAGAGGAUCCCCAUUCUUCAGAGAAACCACCAUAAAGAGAGUGAGCGUGAUGGAUAUUUCUGAAGCUAAGACAUGGUUUUAUAAACAAAGGGAGCCUUUGUGCUGUCUGCCAAAUUACUGCAAAGUGAACAUUUUUGGAAGAGAAACAUUGUACAGUUUGAGUUCCUGUUCACAGAAAAGAAAGUAUUUGAAAAGAAACCAAUCAGAAGGGCAACUAACUUUACUUAUAAUAAAUACAAUAGCUCAUUAACAUACUUAACUUACCGGAAAUAGUGAUUAUACACUUAUUAUAUGGGUUAUACACUGACUGGCCAAAUGAGUAUGCCCACCGGUUUAGUUCUUUGUUGGACCAUCUUUUUCCCUUAAUAUGGCAUGGAUUCUACUAUCUGUAUGUUUUGUGGGGAAUAUUAGACCAAUGUGAUGUACUGCACCUUUAUAACUUUGCUUCUACCAGCAGUUACAGUCACGAUGAUGCAACAAGGACCCAUGCUUUUGUGCUGUUGUCUCCAUAUCUUUGACAUCUGCAUUGUAAUUGAAAACAUGAUUCAUGAGACCAUAUUACCUAUUUAAAAAGAUUUACUGUCCAAUGCCUGUGUUUCUGUGCAUACUGGAGGCGUU